rnacentral:rRNA from 1 species
UGCAGUCUGACGGUGACAGGGAGCUGUGCUCCGCUGACGAGUGGCGAACGGGCGAGUAAUAUGUCGGAACGUACCAUUGAGUGGGGGAUAACUAGUCGAAAGAUUAGCUAAUACCGCAUACGAUCUACGGAUGAAAGCGGGGGAUCGCAAGACCUCGUGCUCAUAUAGCGGCCGAUAUCUGAUUAGCUAGUUGGUGAGGUAAAGGCUCACCAAGGCUUCGAUCAGUAGCUGGUCUGAGAGGACGACCAGCCACACUGGGACUGAGACACGGCCCAGACUCCUACGGGAGGCAGCAGUGGGGAAUUUUGGACAAUGGGGGCAACCCUGAUCCAGCAAUGCCGCGUGAGUGAAGAAGGCCUUCGGGUUGUAAAGCUCUUUUGUCAGGGAAGAAACGGGAUGUCCUAAUACGAUGUCCUAAUGACGGUACCUGAAGAAUAAGCACCGGCUAACUACGUGCCAGCAGCCGCGGUAAUACGUAGGGUGCAAGCGUUAAUCGGAAUUACUGGGCGUAAAGCGUGCGCAGGCGGUUAUGUAAGACAGGUGUGAAAUCCCCGGGCUUAACCUGGGAAUGGCAUUUGUGACUGCAUAAGCUAUAGAGUGUCAGAGGGGGGUAGAAU